GAUGAAGAACGCAGCGAAAUGCGAUAAGUAGUGUGAAUUGCAGAAUUCCGUGAAUCAUCGAAUUUUUGAACGCACAUUGCGCCUUCUGGUAUUCCGGAAGGCAUGCCUGUUCGAGAGUCAUUAACAACCGUUUCGUUCCCUUUCUUUCAGAAAUUACAAAGAGGAAAAGGGUUUGGUUAUGGUGGAGGAGGGAAAGGGAGCGUUUAGCCUGUAAAAAAAGAGGCUGUGUUCCGCCUCCCCCCCAAAAUUGUACAGGCGGUCGUGUGCGCCCACGCAUCGAGGUGUUGUAAAAGCUGCCACGGCACUUUUCACCUGUACAGUGCGAGAUUGGCCAGCCGGUUUAAAAACCCCUCCAAACAAUCAAAGGUUGACCUCGGAUCAGGUAGGGAUACCCGCUGAACUUAAGCAUAUCAAUAAGCGGAGGA
rnacentral:misc_RNA from 1 species